rnacentral:rRNA from 1 species
CAGCAUACUGUGGUGAAUACGUUCCCGGGCCUUGUACACACCGCCCGUCACACCAUGAGAGUUGAGAAUACCCGAAGCCCAUGUCAAAGUGGUCGAAGGUAGGCUUGAUGAUUGGGGUGAAGUCGUAACAAGGUAAC